rnacentral:tRNA from 1 species
GCGCACGUGGCUCAAUGGUACAGCAGUCGGUUGCAGCCCGACAUUUCCCAGGUUCGAUUCCUGGCGUGCGCU